ACUGUUACAGACACCAGCACUGGAGACACUUCCAUUGAACCACCCUCUGAGUUAAUGACCCGUAGUGAACUUAUCUAAGCAAAAAAUUUGGUUCAUGAAGAGAAGAGCAAGGGCUUCUAUUUUCCUUCCUAAAAGAUUGGCAAGGUCUCGUUGGAGCUAAGCCAGGCAUGCAGGUAAAGUAGCACAUUCUUGACAUCCUGCCCCUCUUUUACCACCAGAUAGAUAUUUUAAUCUUAGGUAUACACAUUUGUUCAUGAUUUAUCUCAUCCAGAUUUUUAUAAGCUUUGGAAGUAGGACAGCAUAUUAAAUGGGAAUUCAGAAGGCAGUUUGAAACUGUGGAAAUCUGGACAUACUCUACUCUGUCCCACUCUUCCUCAGCAAAAGCAGCACCACA
rnacentral:lncRNA from 1 species